GCUGCUGUGUGUUCUGCAAAGAUAGCAUGCUGUCCUACUAGAUCAUGAUAUGCAUUUGAUGAAAAUUCCCCUUCCUCAAAGGAUGAUGGAAGUCGUGCUAAACUACCAAAUGGACACCAAUGAACUCCAAAGGACAUUUCAGAGUAGCUUAGGUCAUAAAGGUCCUCAUCAUGGGCCCAGUCAUCCAUGCUAAAUUCUGGCAAUGAACGGCAACCAUUUGCAUAAAGCCACUGGCCUUUCUCAAUUUUCCGACAAUUAGGGCAUUGCAUAGCGCCCUUUAUAUUAAAUGCUGAACCAAUGCAAUCCAAAUGGAAUUGAUGUCCACAUUGAAGCUUGGCCCACGAUCGAUCCCCGCUAUCGGUGACCACUUCAAGGCAAAUCGAACACGAAACAGACCCAAACGACUUUCCGCAUCCUCCUCCACCACCGCCACCACCACCAUCUCCACCAUCUCCAUCAUCAACGACCACAUCAUUUUCACUAUUCCCCAACCCCAUCACACCACCACCAGCCAAAAACAAAAACCCUAAUUCCCCAAAACAGCACCGUCAAAUUCUCCCCCUCCCACCUUUUCCUCAGCAAAUUAGUACAGCCUCUUCAAUAAUUUAAUAAAGAAAAAGUAUAAAUUAGCGAGUUUUUUAGCUAAUUUGAUCAGCAGAUACGAUUGGUAGAUAGAUGUGGAGGUUGAUUAUGUUGAUAAAGAAUAUAAUUUGAAAAAAAAUUUUGAUCUUUCUUCUUCUUCUUCAAUAGUUGUUUGUCUUCUCUCUCUCCUCCCUCUAUCUCUCUGCCCUUUGUCCCUCUAUUUCUCUAUCUAUCUUUGCUUUGUGUGUUCAGAUUGUUUGGUGCCGUUAUACCUGGGGGGUUGAGUUGCUG
rnacentral:misc_RNA from 1 species